UUAAGUUUCACUGUCUCUGGUUUUAU
rnacentral:misc_RNA from 1 species